AGAAUGGCAAACAACUUCUUUAAAAUAAAAUUAUUGCUGAUACAGAAGAAAGAUUGCACUGAGGACUUGUUUAUAAUCAGGAUGGUGAGGCACUAUACAAAACUUCAAUUUACUGAAUUCAGUGAAGUUUGAAGUGAAAUACAGAAUAAGCACUUCUGGAUAUUUCAGACACCGGUUCCAAUUUAGAGUAAAAAAACUUGGGUUCUGCUAUUAUUUUCAAGGAUAAUUACCUCCUAGGAUGGAGCAGGAUAUAAAAUGAAAGCUCAUCUUACCUAUCUAUAGUUAUUAUGACACCUGUGUACAAUGAUAAAGAAGCAUUUUUCAAUAGUACAAAUGAAUAUGUAUCACCACUAUUUAAUAAUGCUAUAGGGAUGCCUACUUUUUCAACUUUUCACCCUAAAAUUUUCUCCCACCUUUUCCUGCAUGGUAAUGCUGAUGUCUAUAUAGCUCGAUUUUAUAGUCCCCAGUGAGCUAUAUGUAUAAAUAAACUUCUAUAUUUCUUUUGGGAAGCCACAUGGGAUAGAGCCUUAAAAAGGAAGGGGAAUGUGUUUUCAUGGGAAACAUUCCCUCAGUGGAAUCAAUGGAUUAUAAUUUUUUCUUUUCUUUUGUGCAUUUAGGAUUGAACUCAGUCACCACCGUUUGCACUAACUAAAACUCUGUACAGAGCUAAGGAGAGGAGAGGAGUCUCACCGUUGUGCGACAUGCCCAGGGAGAGGCAUUUCUGAAAGCGGCAGUACUGGCACUUGUUUCGGUUCUUCUUCUGAAUUUUACAGCUCCGCUCACACCUCUCGUACUCCAGUUUCAUACGGAUUGUUCGACGAAAGAAGCCCUGUUGGAGAGCAGGCAGAGGGAGAAAAAAGAAACAGGGAGUUGGGUCAUUGUGGUAACACAGCAGCUCCUUAUAAAAUGUCCCAGGAUUGCUGUCAACUUGAGUCUCAGGACAGAGUAUCGUUUUCAGCAACAAGCAAAGAGACUUCAGAACAAUGGACCACACUACAUGUUAACAUACACAUGGAGACGGACUGAAGGUAGGACAAAACUCCCAGCUUAUGAACCGAUCGCUUACAGACGUAGGCUUUGUAUGGACAAGCAUAACAAUAUUUGGAACUCAUUUAUUAAAAAAUAUGGUAGGUUAUAAAUAACCAUAAAUCUAUCUGUAUAAUAAUAACAUUCAUAUACCUACAUACUAGACUUGCAUAUAUGGAAUUGUAGUUGUCUGCAUAUAUAGUGAUAUAAUAUACCUUUUAUUUUUAUUUCUUUAUUCACGUUUUAUUUUUACUUUAUUUUGUUCAAUUGAAAUAUUCUCCAAAAAAAAAUUUUUUUUAACAUACACAUGGAGAAAAGAAUGGUACAAGGAGGAAGAGAGCCUAAACACAAUUGUCCCGUGUAAAAAACAGCAAAAAACAGACUUGUAGUCUCGCAAAGAUCCAGCAGGGGGAUAUGAAUAAACAAAUCCAGCUUUUCAACAUCCUUGUCUCUCUCGCUUUAGCUUCCCCUCCCCCGCCCCCUUUGGAUAAUUUUGGCAUCACUUAGACAUUGAAUAACUCAUCUCCUUUGGCAUUCUGCGAUUCCAACAGCCAGCCAAAUGAUCAGGAGCAGAAUACGUUCACAGGUGUCCCGUGAAGUAUGUCAGCCAAAGAUUACGUCUAAAAGUAAUGUCUAUGUUCUCAAGGAGACCAGAGUUGAUGGAGAAUAGUGACAGGGAAGAAGGGCAGAGAAGACGUAAAGCAGGAAAAUGUCCCAGGCAAAACUCCUGUGCAUAUUAGGGACAAAUUCCAGAAGGGUGUCCACGUUAGUCUGUGGAGCGUAGGAAUAUUACUACCAGUCCAUUUCAAGGGAUAUUGUUACUUCAUGUCCUCAGAAUGCAGCACCUUGUUAAUACUGUUUGCAGAAUAGUGCUUUUGUUCUGCGCUAUCAGAAUAAAGGUUGGUCUUAUACCAUUGUUCCAGUUGUGGGUUAGAGAUACUUGGAUCUUUAACCUCUGAAGAAAAGAUUCUGUUUCCUUCCAUAAUUUACUCACUGAAGCCUCCUAUAACCUUGUGAAUAACAGGAGUAGCUAAAACGUGGCCCUUGUAGAUCUACUAUAACAUGUGUAUAAGUCAUACAAUAAAUGGCUAAUAAAUCAUGCUUUGAGGAAUAAAGGGGCUAAAAUAAAUGCAUAGUUUAAUGCAGUUAGAACUCAAAAAGAAAAGCAGAAGUGAAAUUUGGCACGUAAUUAGAACUGAAUACACUUGGGUCAGACCAAAAGAUGAUGAACACAGACUUUUCUAAUCAAUGUGCUUAGGUCAGGGGUUUUAGCAGCACAGACCAACACAUUUCUAGGUUAAAGAAAGAAAAAGGAACUGGUUUGAUGUCCUGUCUUGGGAAAUGAGGAAAUCUAUUCUUGUUAGAAAAGGAGCAAGAAACAGGGCAAAAGUUUACCAACAGGGGAAGAGAACAUUAAAUAUAAGAACUGGUAUCUUUGUAUUUGUUGCUUAUUCUUUUGUGCAUUGUAGUGGUAGCUUAUUAAAACUUUAUAGUCAUUUGAA